CCUACGGGGUGCAGCAGUGAGGAAUAUUGGUCAAUGGGCGCGAGCCUGAACCAGCCAAGUCGCGUGAGGGAAGACGGUCCUAUGGAUUGUAAACCUCUUUUGUCGGGGAGCAAAAGACGCCACGCGUGGCGUUCCGAGAGUACCCGAAGAACAAGCAUCGGCUAACUCCGUGCCAGCAGCCGCGGUAAUACGGAGGAUGCGAGCGUUAUCCGGAUUUAUUGGGUUUAAAGGGUGCGCAGGCGGAAGAGCAAGUCAGCGGUAAAAUUGAGAGGCUCAACCUCUUCGAGCCGUUGAACCUGGUGUGCGUGAGUGAGUGAGAAGUAUGCGGAAUGCGUGGUGUAGCGGUUAAAUGCAUAGAUAUCACGCAGAACUCCGAUUGCGAAGGCAGCAUACCGGCGCUCAACUGACGCUCAUGCACGAAAGUGUGGGUAUCGAACAGGAUUAGAUACCCUGGUAGUC
rnacentral:rRNA from 1 species